UUUUCAUCUGAACCAAUCAGAUGCCUGUUACUGGAAAGCCUGUUCUACACUGAUCCUUCCCCACUUUUUUGAGCAAGCAGUCUUUUGGAGCCCCCCAAGGGAACAAAGGUGCUAUCCUGUUGAGAUUCUGCCCCUGGGAAAAUCUCAUGAUAUCCAAUCCCUCAUCCGUGGUUCUCCGCUGUCUUCACUGCUCACCAUGAUAAGGGUCAAGCAGAUGGAAGAAAGAAAUGAUUAAGGAAUCUUUGGAAAUGCUCAGAAGGAAGACUAAGAUGCCUCUAAAGACACAGUGUGGGUGACAAUGGAAUAAUGAUGCUAACAUCACUAUGCCAUGUUCUUCUCUUGUAUCUACAAUAACUGCUGUGUUUUUCUGUGAUUAAUUCUGCCUCAAGGAAAAAAACAAGUGCUGCUUGCUGCUAGUGUCAGAAAAGCAGCAUUAUUGUAUGCAAAGUUACAUCAAGCCUGGAAUAAAGGAAUGUGCAUGACAAAA